AGUUUGAUUCUGGGCUCAGAUUGAACGCUGGCGGGAUGCUUUCUUACACAUGCAAGUCGAACGGCAGCACGGACUUCGGUCUGGUGGCGAGUGGCGAACGGGUGAGUAAUGUAUCGGAACGUGCCUAGUAUGUGGAUAACUACGCGAAAGCGUAGCUAAUACCGCGGCCCUUCGGGGAAAGCGGGGAUCUUCUGCCUCGCGUAAUUAUUAGAGCGAUGAUAUCGGAUUAGCUAGUUGCGGGGUAACGGCUCACUAAGGCGACGAUCCGUAGCUGGUUUGAGAGAGGACGACUCAGCCACACUGGGACUUAUUGAGACACGGCCCAGACCUACGGGAGGCAGCAGUGGGGAAUUUUGGACAAUGGGGGAAACCUCCUGAUCCAGCCAUCUCAAGCGUGCGAUGAAGGCCUCGGGACAAAGCACUUUUUGGCAGGAGAAACGGCACGGGAUAAUACCCCGUGCAACUGACGGUACCUGCAGAAUAAGCACCGGCUACUACGUGCCAGCAGCCGCGGUAAUGUAGGGUGCAAGCGUUAAUCGGAAUUACCGGGCGUAAAGCGUGCGCAGGCGGUUCGAAAGAAAGAUGUGGAAAUCCCAGAGCUUAACUUUGAACUGCAUUUUUAACACCACCGAGCUAGAGUGUGUCAGAGGGAGGUGGAAUUCCGCGUAGCAGUGAAAAUGCGUGUAUAUGCGGAGGAACACCGAUGGCGAAGGCAGCCUCCUGGAUAACACUGACGCUCAUGCACGAAAGCGUGGGGAAACAGGAUUAGAUACCCCAGAACCACGCCCUAAACGAUGUCAACUAGCUGUUGGGGCCUUCGGGCUCGGUAGCGCAGCUAACGCGUGAAGUUGACCGCCUGGGGAGUACGGCUUCCAAGAUUAAAACCCAAAGGAACGACGGGACCGCGCAAGGGUGGAUGAUGUGGAUUACUCCUGAUGCAACGCGAAAACCUACCUACCCUUGACAUGUCUGGAAUCCCGAAGAGAUUUGGGAGGUCGGGAAGAGAACUGGAACACAGGUGCUGCACAUUGUCGUCAGCUCUCGUGGUCGUAGAUGCCGGGUUAAGUCCCGCAACGAGCGCAACCGUCAUUAGUUGCUACGAAAGGGCACUCUAAUGACCGCCGGUGACAAACCGGAGGAAGGGAUGACGUCAAGUCCUCAAGUGGCCCUUGCGGUGGGCUUCACGUUUAUGAUGGCCGGUUUGCACAGAGGGUCGCCAACCCGCGAGGGGAGCUAAUCCCAGAAACCCGAUCGUAGUCCGAUCGCAGUCUGCAACUCGACUGCGUGAAGUCGGAAUCGCUAGCAAUCGCGGAUCAGCAUGUCGCGGUGAAUACGUUCCCGGGUCUUCGCGCCCGUCACACCAUGGGAGUGGGUUUUACCAGAAGUAGUUAGCCUAACCGUAAGGAGGGCGAUUACCACGGUAGGAUCUAUGACUGGGGUGAAGUCGUAAUAAGGUAG
rnacentral:rRNA from 1 species